rnacentral:tRNA from 1 species
GGGCCAGUAGCUCAGCUGGUAGAGCGCUGCCUUUGCAAGGCAGAGGUAAGGGGUUCGAGUCCCCUCUGGUCCA